rnacentral:lncRNA from 1 species
AUUCGGGUAUAAAAUCUGUGUUCGCCCGACCUGUGAGGUCUUGGGGCUUCCGGAAUAAAACCACCCUGUUCACCCCCCAAGUCCCGUGUCGCCUCCGUCUGUCCCCGCGCAAGGAACUGAGACCGCAGAGCCAAAAAGGGGGAACGGCUGAAUUUCCUCUUCCUCUCCUGCUGCUGAAUCCCGCUGCCACUCGAUGGGGAAAAGUGGACAGAGCACACACCACAGCAUGCCACAGAUAAAGAGGAUGAAGAAACCACCUUAGACCAUCUGGUGGGUGAGGGUGAUUGGAGCCAGGUUCAGAGUCAAGCAGCAGGGAUCCUCAGAUCAGUGUUAGACCUGACUAAGAACGCAGCAGAGCGAGCUUUCCUUAGGAUGCCCUCUAAGGAACCUGUAAUAUCUUAUGUCGCUCUCAAGCAAUCUGUUACAGAGCCAUACAUGGAUUUUGUUGAUCAGGUGAGAGCUUCUGUCAAAAAGUGGGUGGAAGGGCAAGAGCUACAAGACCAGCUCACAUUAGAAAUUGUCACCACAAAUCCAAAUGAAGCCUGUCGGCGAGUCAUCAUGGCACUUCCAGCAUCCCCUCCACCGACGCUUGAUCAGCUCAUCGAGGAGUGCACAAGAAAAGCCACACUAAUGGCAGAGGACGUGAUGAAAAGGCCUUGGGAAAAGGUUAUUGCCCCAACAUCAGCAACUCCAAGAUCUCCAACAUCGAAACCUCCCUCACCCAAUUGCAGGUGUUAUUACUGCAAUCAGGAAGGCCACCUCAUCAGCCAAUGCCCCUUUCGGGAGACAGUGCCUCUUCAGGGGGGGAGGAGGCAGGGAGGAAGAGUUUCUCAACCAGCAAGAAAACUAAUUGAGGAGCGCGGACCUGCCCCACAUGAUGAUACAAAUGGGGAUUGGCAUUUUUUCAUAGCAACAGCAGAGCUGCUGCCCCGCAUUUGGAACUGCGAAACUCGCAGACGAGAUGAUCUUCUAAACUGCAAGUACCUUGUCAUUGGUGACACAAAGUAGACGCCACAAGAGAUAGGGGUCCCUCCUACCAUCCUUUCCUUAGAUCCUAAGACCUUCUAUCUCAUGGCAAGUUGUGUCCACCCCCCCCCCUCCUGCCACAGGGACAGAUCAUUGCACAGGCCAUUCCAGUGCCCCACCUUUUAUGUGAUGAUCUAGACCUGUCAGUUUUUUACACCGAAAUGCUGGGAGAGGAAAAGCCCAUUGUAUGGUGUGGCCUAAAGAGCGAGGGGCAUUCCAUUCAACUUCAG